rnacentral:rRNA from 1 species
GAUAGAGAGCUUCGGCAGGAAAUUGAUAAUCGAGUGGCGGACGGGUGAGUAACGCGUGAGCAACCUGUCCCAGACAGGGGGAUAACACUUGGAAACAGGUGCUAAUACCGCAUAAGGACCACGGGAUCACAUGGGUUCUGGGGUAAAAGGAGCAAUCCGGUUUGGGGUGGGCUCGCGUCCGAUUAGCCAGUUGCGGGGUAACGGCCCACCAAAGCGACGAUCGGUAGCCGACCUGAGAGGGUGAACGGCCACAUUGGAACUGAGAGACGGUCCAAACUCCUACGGGAGGCAGCAGUGGGGAAUAUUGGGCAAUGGGCGAAAGCCUGACCCAGCAACGCCGCGUGAGUGAAGAAGGCCUUCGGGUUGUAAAGCUCUGUUAUAGUUGACGAAGGAAGUGACGGUAGGCUAUAAGGAAGCCCCGGCUAACUACGUGCCAGCCGCCGC